GCUGGGCACGUUGGGCGGCAGGAGAGGCUGCUGUGCUGCCUGGCUCUCCCUUUCUAAGCUCCCGGGUCUGCGAAAGUUUGGGGUGGGUUGUACUUUCUCUAGGUCGGUCUGUCCCACCUGGUACCCCACCCUACUUUCUGCCCGGCCCCUCACCCUUGUCGGCGCUAUGCUUUCUCUCCGGGCCCCCCACCUUGUAUAUUGCACGGGCUCCCUGGGUGGUUUUGCUCCCAGGGACACUGCCAUGCGUUCAGUCCUGGAGCCCGUGAAUCCAAGCCUGUGCUCUCGCUCCCGCCCGUGGAUUGCGUGAAAAUCAAUAGAGCACCACCCAGCUCGUGUUGGAAGGGACGCUCAGACAUCUCCGCCCACGGCAUUUUCCCUCUAGGAGAAGGGCGAUUCAGCUUCGCACCUGAGCUGUUUAAGGACUGGAUCUGACCCUUUUCCUGAAGAUUGCCGGUGGGGCGUGCCAGUCUCUCGCCCGACCUUGGAAGGUGGACAAGGAGUGAUUUCAGAGUCGUUUCCCGACCUGCUGAAAAUACCCGACCUAGGCGCACCCAAAACGUUCCCUACAGUUGCAGGGGGGUUCUGGUUUCCCAAACCGCGGGACUCACGAAUCUCAAGAACAGCUGGCAGAAAGGACUGUCUGCUUGGGGGAAGGGGAGAGACCAACGCGGAGAGCCGUGGAGCUGCUUGUGGCCCCAGCCUUGGGUCACCCAGGACGCCCUUUCCGGAGCCGAGUUAAGGUCGCGGACCCUGAAGAAGAAAUUGAGACCUCAAAACUAAUUCGCCCACGAUCUCACUGUUCCCGAUGGAGCAAGGGGUUCGAAUUGUGGGGGGAUAAAUUUAGUAUCAGCCUUCAGCCGUCCAACUACUCACCUUCGAAUCACAGUCCCCCGCCUGUGCUGUGCUGUGCAACAUGUGAGGGUAAAAAAUGCGCAGGUUGUAAGAGGUGAGGUUUUUUGUUUGUUUGUUUUUGUUUGUUUGUGGGUUUUUGUUUGGUUUUGGACUGGAAAACUUAAAGCUCAAGAGUUUUUUUGUCUUUUUUUUCUUUCUUUCUCUCUCUCUCUCUCUCUCUCUCUCUGUUUUUCUUUAACAGAGUCUCUCUUUGUCGCCCAGGCUGGAGUGCAGUGGCGUGAUCUCGGCUCACUGCAACCUUCGCCUCCUGGGUUCAAGUGAUUCACCUGCCUCAGCCACCUGAGUAGCUGGGACUACAGGCGCCUGCCACCACGCCCGGCUAAUUUUUGUAAUUUUAGUGGAAACGGGGUUUCGUCAUGUUAUCCAGGCUGGUCUGGAUCUCCUGACCUCAGGUGAUCCGCCCACCUCGGCCUCCCAAAGUGCUGGGAUAACAGGCAAGAACCACCGCGGCCGGCCUAAAGCUCAGGAGUUUUAUUGUGUUUUCUUUCCCAAGCUGUAUGAAAAGUCCAACAGCACUGUUCUGUCGUUCUUUGCCUUCUUAUAUGUGACCUUUUCCCCUCUGGGGGCUUAUAAAUAUUCAUCUUGUCUUAUAAAUCCUCAGUGAAGGCAAUGAGUAUUUUUAUUUCCGUUUUACCAUUAGGGAUACUGGUUGGGGGAAGAUGAAUGACUUGCCCAAGGUCAUAUAGUAAAUCAGGACACAGACAAGAUCAAGCUUGCCCUGUCAAAGUGCUUCCCUGACAGGCAGCAGUGAUCCUCCUUUAUUUAUGUGCAAAGUACUCUCCAAUUAGGAAAUUAAGCAUCCUGGUGCUCUCUUUGGAAGGGAAGCCUUUUAUAAAUUCAUCACUUGUUAAUCAGUCAUAAAUAAAACCUACUCACUUUUGACCUCUAGAGGAAACCUGCUAUCUGGAGAUUUCACUAAUCCGAGCUAUGGAGACUUUUUUUCCCCCAGGUUUCCCUUCUAUUUCUCUUGUACAUUUCUAUACUUACUCGAGUCCUCUUUGGGUGAACCAUUGACGCACUGUAUCUUUCCAUUGCUUGCCUUAGCAUAUUGAACCUCUUAAUAGAUUUCAGGCUACUAUGCUAAAAUGUGUCUAUCUCUGUGGAGACUAAAGGCUAAAGUUCAAAGUGACACUGGCAAGAAUGAUUGGCUAAUUUUAAGAUUUAGAACUGUAGCCUUUUAGAGCUAGAGGCCACUGGAGAUCAUACCCAGCAUCUAGAUCUGCAUGGAGGAAGCCAAGGCCCAGAGAGGUCAAGUUCCUUACCUAAAGUUACACAGCUAGUUUGUGACACAACUGGGACAAGAACCCAGAUCUGCUUCCUCACAUUGCUCUUUGCAAUGUACUGCAUUACCUCAUUUUUGCUGCAAGCCCUUGGCCACUGUCAAAAUCAUUCAUUUACUCAUCAAAUGUUUAUUAAGUAGGCACUUCAGUGCCAGGCACUGAAGCAAAAAAAGAAGAGUUUUCCUUCAUUAAUUGGAACAGGAGACUUCAGCAUUUUAAAUAUGUAGAGAAUAAACUGACAGCUUUUUAAAAUAUGUUAGCUCAUGAAUGGUAAAGUUUACAAAGAUAUAAAGCAGUGUUUUCUUCUAUCUGUAAUAUUAUCCAAAUUCUGUGAUCAUAAUAUUAGCCAACAUUUAAAAUGAAACUGUAUUUGAAAUCCAGACAAAAAUGUACUUUGAAAAUGCAAGUGGCUACUCUGUUCCUAGUCACAUCCUUAGAACACACAAUUGAUUCAGAAAACGUUGUCAACUACCUCUAAUUUUGUGUUACUUUUGAUUAUCAUUGCUUUGUUCGAGCUUUUUUCUGUAUAUAAAAAUUUUCCAAAUAUUUGUCAUGCUGAUUAUUAUUUAAUAUGUUUGGGGUCACACUUACUUUUGCAGAGGGGAUGUCUUGCCUAAUGAAAAUCAAUGGGAAAAUAGGUUAUGGAGAAAGUUCCUUUUUAGGCACCAUUUUAGAACUGUUGUGCAAUGGUAAUCACUAUGGCAAAAUGCCUGUUGAUCCUCUCCAUGUAAUUAAUUAAUGAUAAUUCUAUUCAGGUUUUCAACUCUAAAUAUCAGAAAACAGCUUUUCUACUUGCUCAGUAACUUGAUUUAAGGAUAUAGAGUGAAAAAUAAUUUGUUAUGGAAUUUUCUUGGUGCCGUUUAAGGUUUCAGACUAUUUUAGAAGAUAAAUGUUCACACCUAGUGCAUGUAAAAAUUAAAUUCCAUUAACAUCUAUUAAAUGUCAGUCCCCAGGGUGUCUAGCCUUGUAAAAGUCAAAGAUAUAUAAUAUUAAUCUUAAAAUGCAAAAAUGUCUUGCCUCUGCUUAAACCAUGAGCUAAAAAGCAUCUAGAAGGAGUGGAUGCCAUAGGGAGAAAA
rnacentral:lncRNA from 1 species